GAUGAACGCUGGCGGCGUGCUUAACACAUGCAAGUCGAACGGAAAGGCCCAAGCUUGCUUGGGUACUCGAGUGGCGAACGGGUGAGUAACACGUGGGUGAUCUGCCCUGCACUUCGGGAUAAGCCUGGGAAACUAGGUCUAAUACCGGAUAGGACCACUUCUUGGAUGUUGUGGUGUAAAGUUUUUUCGGUGUGGGAUGAGCUCGCGGCCUAUCAGCUUGUUGGUGGGGUAAUGGCCUACCAAGGCGUCGACGGGUAGCCGGCCUGAGAGGGUGUACGGCCACAUUGGGACUGAGAUACGGCCGAGACUCCUACGGGAGGCAGCAGUGGGGAAUAUUGCACAAUGGGCGCAAGCCUGAUGCAGCGACGCCGCGUGGGGGAUGACGGCCUUCGGGUUGUAAAAUCCUUUCGCUAGGGACGAAGCGUUUUGUGACGGUACCUGGAGAAGAAGCACCGGCUAACUACGUG
rnacentral:rRNA from 1 species